rfam:Toxocara canis scaffold276, whole genome shotgun sequence.
GUGGCAGUAGCUCAGUGGCAGAGCUCCCGCUUCAUAGGUGGGAAGACCUGCAUUCGAUUCCCGGCUGCUUUC